GCUCCUUGAUUCAGCGGCGGACGGGUGAGUAAUGCCUAGGAAUCUGCCUGGUAGUGGGGGACAACGUUUCGAAAGGAACGCUAAUACCGCAUACGUCCUACGGGAGAAAGCAGGGGACCUUCGGGCCUUGCGCUAUCAGAUGAGCCUAGGUCGGAUUAGCUAGUAGGUGAGGUAAUGGCUCACCUAGGCGACGAUCCGUAACUGGUCUGAGAGGAUGAUCAGUCACACUGGAACUGAGACACGGUCCAGACUCCUACGGGAGGCAGCAGUGGGGAAUAUUGGACAAUGGGCGAAAGCCUGAUCCAGCCAUGCCGCGUGUGUGAAGAAGGUCUUCGGAUUGUAAAGCACUUUAAGUUGGGAGGAAGGGCAGUAAGUUAAUACCUUGCUGUUUUGACGUUACCGACAGAAUAAGCACCGGCUAACUCUGUGCCAGCAGCCGCGGUAAUACAGAGGGUGCAAGCGUUAAUCGGAAUUACUGGGCGUAAAGCGCGCGUAGGUGGUUCGUUAAGUUGGAUGUGAAAGCCCCGGGCUCAACCUGGGAACUGCAUCCAAAACUGGCGAGCUAGAGUAUGGUAGAAGGGUUGGUUGAAAUUUCCUGUGUAGCGGUGAAAUGCGUAGAUAUAGGAAGGAACACCAGUGGCGAAGGCGACC
rnacentral:rRNA from 1 species